AAUUAAUUAAUUAUUAAUUUAAAUUAUAUUAUUUUAAUCAAAAUAAUUUUAUUAAUUUUUAUUUAAGUAUAUAUUAUAGAAAAAAUUUUUUUAAUUAUAGUUUAUUAGUAUUGUAAAAGAAAUUUGUUAUAAAUGUUUUUUAUUUAAAAGUAAAAUUAAUUUUUUGUACCUUGUGUAUCAGGGUUUAUUAAAUAAUAAUUAUAAAUAUUAAUUUUCCCGAUUUUAAGAGAGAAAAUAAAUUAUUUUUUUUAUUGUUAAAAAAAUAUUUAAAAUUAUUUAUUAGAAAUGAAAAGUUAUUCGUUCUUAAAUAUAUCUGGUUUAUUUAGAAAUAAAUUUAAUUUAGUUUAUUUAAUUUUAUUAAUUUAUUUUUUUAAAUUAAUAAAUUUUUUAAAUAUUAAUUAAAGGGAUAAGCUUUUAAUUAAAUUUCUAUAAUUUAUAAAAUAUAAUAAAAAUAUAUAGAUUUAGAAAUAUUUUUUGUUWAUAAUUUGUUAUAAUUAAUUUUUGUUAGUAUAUUAUUUAAUAAAAAUUUAGAAUUUUAUAAAUAAAUUUUAUUUAAUAUUUUAAUAUAAGAUAUAAUGAUAGAAUUAGUAUUUAUUAAAAAUGUUUAGAUAAUGGUUUAAAAUAGAUUAUUUAAAGGAAUUCRGCAAAUAUUUUAUUCGCCUGUUUAACAAAAACAUGUCCUUUAGAAUUWAUUAUUUAAGGUCUAACCUGCCCACUGAAAUAUUUUAAAUGGCCGCAGUAAAUUGACUGUGCAAAGGUAGCAUAAUCAUUAGUUUUUUAAUUAAAAGCUUGWAUGAAUGGUUUGACGAAAUAAAAUCUGUCUCUAAAUAAUAGAAAGAAUUUAAUUUUUAAGUUAAAAAGCUUAAAUUAAAAUAAAAGACGAGAAGACCCUAUAGAUCUUUAUAUUAAGUUUAAUAAUUUUAUUUAGGAUUUUUUUUAUGAUUAUUAUUUUUAUUAUUGUAUUGGGGUAAUAGAAAGAUUAAUAAAAUUCUUUUUAAAUUGUUACAAUAAUUAUUGUUUAUUUGAUCCUUAAUUUAAGAUAAUAAGAUUAAGAUACCUUAGGGAUAACAGCGUAAUUUUUUUAAAGAGUUCAUAUCGAUAAAAAAGUUUACGACCUCGAUGUUGGAUUAAAAAUUAUUCCAGGUGCAGAAGUUUGGAAAUUUUGGUCUGUUCGACCAUUAAAUUUUUACAUGAUCUGAGUUCAGACCGGCGUAAGCCAGGUCGGUUUCUAUCUUUAUUUAAUUAUUAUAUUUUAGUACGAAAGGACCAAAUAUAUAAUAUAUUAAUAUUUGUUUUUUGAAUAAUAUU
rnacentral:rRNA from 1 species